ensembl:ncRNA C04A2.12 ncRNA
ACUUGUCUUGUCCAGCAUGUCGCUCAAAAAAGUCAAGUGAUGAUAAGAAAGAGGAAGAACGACAAUUGUCAAGAAGGGGCAAGGUGUAGGAAAAGAGCUCAGUUUUCACACGUGACCUCGGCUCAACUUUCAGAAUGAGUCCUGAAGUCUAGAUCCUAGUGGACACUGUACUCACAUUCAACUACC